CCUACGGGUGGCUGCAGUAGGGAAUCUUCCACAAUGGGCGAAAGCCUGAUGGAGCAACGCCGCGUGGGUGAAGAAGGUCUUCGGAUCGUAAAACCCUGUUGUUAGAGAAGAAAGUGCGUGAGAGUAACUGUUCACGUUUCGACGGUAUCUAACCAGAAAGCCCCGUCUAACUACGUGCCAGCAGCCGCGGUAAUACGUAGGUGACAAGCGUUAUCCGGAUUUAUUGGGCGUAAAGGGAACGCAGGCGGGCUUUUAAGUCUGAUGUGAAAGCCUGCGGCUUAACCGGAGUAGUGCAUUGGAAACUGGGAGACGUGAGUGCAGGAGAGGAGAGUGGAACUCCAGGUGUAGCGGUGAAAUGCGUAGAUAUAAGGAGGAACACCAGUGGCGAAGGCGGCUCGCUGGACUGUAACUGACGCUGAGGUUCGAAAGCGUGGGUAGCAAACAGGAUUAGAUACCCUAGUAGUC
rnacentral:rRNA from 1 species